UUUUUUCAAAAAAAGUGCUUACGCGUUUGAUAACCACCACGCUCGUAAUAAAAGGCGGUGCGUUCUGGUAAGAAAUCAUCUCUUCAUUUAGAAGGCAACAAAAUGAAUAAGUCAGCGCUUCUCCUCUUGCAUGUCAUCGGACUCCUUGUCUCUAUGGAAACUGCCGUGGUACAUGGAUUCUGGAGAGCCCGCCCUACACCACCACCAGAGACGCGUCGCCGAUGGGGAGGGUGGAACCAACAGCAGAAUGUCCCAGACUUAGUGGACGAGUUAAGCGAUCUGGAAAUGAUAUUGGACAAUUAGAUGAUCUAAAAUGCCUAAUGUUGGUUGCAAACAAUAAUAAACCAUCAUGCAUUUUAA